rnacentral:tRNA from 2 species
GUGCUUGUAGCUCAGUUGGAUAGAGCAUUUCCCUCCGAAGGAAAAGGCCGUGCGUUCGAAUCGCAUCAAGCACA